AUUGAACGCUGGCGGCAUGCCUUACACAUGCAAGUCGAACGGCAGCAUGAUCUAACUUGCUAGAUUGAUGGCGAGUGGCGAACGGGUGAGUAAUACAUCGGAACGUGCCCUGUAGUGGGGGAUAACUAGUCGAAAGAUUAGCUAAUACCGCAUACGACCUGAGGGUGAAAGUGGGGGACUGCAAGGCCUCAUGCUAUAGGAGCGGCCGAUGUCUGAUUAGCUAGUUGGUGAGGUAAAGGCUCACCAAGGCGACGAUCAGUAGCUGGUCUGAGAGGACGAUCAGCCACACUGGGACUGAGACACGGCCCAGACUCCUACGGGAAGCAGCAGUGGGGAAUUUUGGACAAUGGGCGAAAGCCUGAUCCAGCAAUGCCGCGUGUGUGAAGAAGGCCUUCGGGUUGUAAAGCACUUUUGUCCGGAAAGAAAUGGCUCUGGUUAAUACCUGGGGUCGAUGACGGUACCGGAAGAAUAAGGACCGGCUAACUACGUG
rnacentral:rRNA from 1 species